rnacentral:rRNA from 1 species
ACGGGGCCCGCACAAGCAGCGGAGCGUGUUGGUUUAAUUCGAUGCAACGCGAAGAACCUUUACCAGGGUUUGACAUGCUUAAAGUAGAAACUCGAAAGAGGGACGACCUGUAACCAGUCAGGAGUUUGCACAGGUGCUGCAUGGCUGUCGUCAGCUCGUGCCGUGAGGUGUUAGGUUAAGUCCGCUAACGAGCGCAACCCUCGUCGUAUGUUACAAGUGUCAUACGAGACUGCCGGUAAAAGCCGGAGGAAGGUGAGGAUGAUGUCAAGUCAGCAUGACCUUUAUAUCCAGGGCUACACACACGCUACAAUGGUCUGUACAAUGGGUAGCCAAGCCGCGAGGCGGAGCCAAUCCUGAAAGCAGGCCUCAGUUCAGAUUGCAGUCUGCAACUCGACUGCAUGAAGCCGGAGUUGCUAGUAACCGCAGGUCAGCAAUACUGCGGUGAAUACGUUCCCGGGUCUU